rnacentral:tRNA from 1 species
AGGGGUGUAGCCAAGUGGUAAGGCUCUGGUUUUUGGUGCCGGCAUGCGUAGGUUCGAAUCCUGCCGCCCCUG